UUUUUGUAAGGAUACUCAAGUUACUUUGGCACUUUCAGUUCAGAAAUCCCUGUUUUGAACAACAGUAUGAAAGCACUAACUCAGUACUACUUAACAGCCUUACUAAAUACAGCCUGUUCCUGUUGCCCAGAAUGCUAUGUACACCUCUGGCUUUGUAGACUUCAUGUGACCAUAGCAGAUGGACUGUGUGCCCUCAGUGUUCUGUCAUGUUAAGCAGUUUUCUUGAUGAUGGACUUGCCAUGCUUUCCAAGACAGCUUCCAGAGUUCUCUUCCCACUGUGAAUGGAGGAGCCAAGAUGACUGCCUGCCUUAAGUACCCAUUCUUGGAUAAGGUGGAUCUCCCAUUAGAUGCUGGUCUAGGGGUUCUGAAUGUCUUCUGCCUUGGAUACUGGGUACCAAACCUAGAAAGUCUCAAAACAGGAUUGUUCAGUUAUUCUGCAGAACGUGAGAAAUGUUCAGCAGCAUCUGGGCUGCUGUGUACUGAGCAAAUAUUCUAGUUCUUAUCCUAGUCUGGACAAGAGCUAUUCCCCACCAAAAGUAAGUUAAAAGAUAAUAGUGACAGUAAUUGGAUCAUGUGAGUCACUUGUGCUUUUUCAAAUGGUCUGUAGCUAAAAAUAUUGGUGCUAUGUUGGUACAAUUUUAGUCUGAGAAAAGUAAUGCCUGAAGUGAGGGGCAAAUUAUUCUGCUGAUCAGGUAGCUUUCUUAUAUUUGGGCAUUGACCAAAUAAAAAAGGUUAGUAGAUUUGCUUAGGCUCUGUAAAAUUGUAUAGUGCUGAUAACUGCAAGUUGUAUAUGCAAAAUAUUUGGUGUGCCAGGCUCAGGUCUGGAAAACUACUCCAGUGUUUUAACAUGAGUUGAUUGAACAGACAAAUUACUUGGAAAACUGAACUUUCAAGUGUCAAAGCUUUAACUACAUUCCACAGAUAAAGGAGCAGGUUGCUUUGCAUCAAGUUUGACUUUGUUUUCCAUUCUAGAUAAUGUUUACCCUGUCAAUGAAGAAAGUUCUGACUUCUGUCUUACCAUAAACUUUAGAAUUGAGCCAAGUUAUGAAUGCUUCUCACUCCUGUUUUACCAGUAAAACCUUGUAAGAACACAGUCAAUACUUAGUUCUCCAGUCUUCAUUAAAGUAACUGUUUAUGCCUUUCAGUUUCUGAAAGCACUCGGCCAAGUGAAAUGAGACUUUCACAGUGUAAUGCUGCAAUUUAACUGUAGUGUUGUAAGGACUAGUGUUUACAAUGUGAAAUGUUGCAAUGAAAACUGCAUAUGAAUGUCCCUGUGAAGUACAGUAGCAUGCCUGUUCAGUCACUGCUGUCACAUCUCUGCAGCUAUGAACUAUGGUGGUCUUUACUGGAAGCUGAGAUAGUCAAGGUGAUUCCUAAAUUUAGAGCCAAACUUAACUGUGAGGGACUGACCUGAAUUUCUGGUAACAAAUGCUGUCAAGGUACCCAAUGCACAUUGGUCAAAUUUUUAACAUCUAGGAAGUAUACCACCCUUCUAAUUUUUAUGGUAUAAAUGCAGUACAACUGAACUAUAAAGGCCUCUGGUUUUUUUUUUUACUGAUAAGGACCAAAAGCUAGCAAUCUGAGGACUGAUGUCCAAUAACCUGCAUGUGCCAGUUUAUUUUCUAGCUCAGUUAGUGCACUCAGCAGCAAAGCCAUAUGUAGAGCCUGACUCAACACCUUGACAAUAGCACCUAUAAAAUUAGGGGUAGAAGUGAAUGGGAAGCUGCCUCAGCUAUUGUUAGCACUGAAUUCACUUUAAAAAUUCUAGGGAAAUACCAUCUAAGCUUGAAGCAAUAUGUGUUUUUUAAAGUUUUUAAUAGUAUAUGUUUUUAAUGCUUCUGUAUUGUCUAUAUUUAAUAGUGGAGUGUCAACUUGUAUAUGUGAAUAAAAUGAGUGACACAGUA